rnacentral:rRNA from 1 species
GACGUAGGGCGCGAGCGUUGUCCGGAUUUAUUGGGCGUAAAGAGCUCGUAGGCGGCUUGUCGCGUCGACUGUGAAAACCCGUGGCUCAACCAUGUGGUCUGCAGUCGAUACGGGCAGGCUAGAAUUCGGUAGGGGAGACUGGAAUUCCUGGUGUAGCGGUGAAAUGCGCAGAUAUCAGGAGGAACACCGGUGGCGAAGGCGGGUCUCUGGGCCGAUAUUGACGCUGAAGCACGAAGGCCAGGGGAGCAAACGGG